CUGAGUGAAACAUCUCCAAAAAGAGCAGGAAUUACUAAAAAUGAUUUUAAUGCAGCAACGAUGUUUGUUGAACCGCCUGCGUCACACACCGCAAACAUGAACGAAAGGUGACAACCAUCUUAAAGAUUGGAUUUAUUAUUGAAAUAUUGCUCUAUACCAGCAGUGUCUCUCACGAAUGAACGACGUGGUGUGAGUGCCGACGGGUUUUGGCCUCAGGAGUGAUGCGUCCUAUGACUCAUCAGGCCUAUCGAAAGGCCUCGAAGGGGGGCGGGGACUCACGGCAGCACGCGAUGCUCGUUGAGCGCGUCACUAUACUAACCACUAACCACUGACAAUAAAAGCGCGACGACACGUAACAACAUCGUUGUGACAGAACGUUCUAACUAUUUAUAUUCAUCUAUAAUUAAAAAAAAAAAUCCUCAUUAAUACAAACGUAUCACAUACAGGUGAAUGCACAGAUUAAAUACACACAGCAUGCAAGGUACACACACUUCUCAGCAUUCUGUCAACAGUGAACACUCUUUUAUUUCAUAAUGUGAUCACUGAAGUUCAUUAAUUAAUUAAUUAUUAUGAAAAUCUUAACGUUAAUAUCGUCUAUCUUUCAACCUUACGUUACAACAUGACACAUUGAUCAACAAAUUGACGUUUUCUGGCACGUUGAUGUUUCAUCCCAUUUUUAGCCGGUUGAAAAGACUUUUAAAUGAGGUCUUAGACGUUCAGACCUCAUUUCAACCCGAUUUCAACCAUAUUUCAACGUUGAAAUUACGUCUUGUGCUCACUGGGAAGUGUUAUUUGCCUGACAUGAUUAACAUUCUCUUUCCUUACAUCUUGUUGUCUUCCUCAUCUUUGUAAUUUUAAUAUUUUACCAAUGAAAGUGUUUCUAAAUGUUUUAUUUUGGUUUGUUUUACGGAGGCUCUGGAUUAAGGACGCCAGCCGUUUGCUGCGGUCAAUUGAAAGUGUUCCAUAGCGUAUUGUUGCAGUUAGUUUACCUUGUUCCUAAUAAUUUAAUGAUUGAUUUUUUUAUUAUUGUAUGGGACAUAUUUUAUGUUUUGAUCUUGGUUACAAAUGCCAAAUAUUUUUGUCUUAAAGGCAUCUAAUAAACUCCAACCACUAUGACCGAGCUGAGUUUGGUGGUCUUUCUUUAAUUUGUGGGGAAUUGAAUGCAAAAGUAUACGGUUAUAAGUAAACGGUAACAUUGUAGCGGCUCCCAGACUGUGGAACGCUUUGUCGUUUUCUGUGC
ensembl:lncRNA